rnacentral:lncRNA from 12 species
CACAGCUGUUCCUCCUACUCAGGUGUUUUCAGUCUCAGAGAAUGAUCCCUCACAGCCAAUUAAUUACCUGCUGGAGCACACUGUUCUUUCCACUCACACUGGGAGAUGUUGCAGUUGGAGAAGGAGCUGGGGAAUGGCUGGGCAUGGCAGAAAAAGACAGUGAACAUAUUUUUCAACAGAUAUUACUGGAAUAUGUGAAAUUGCACGUGAUCCUUUCAUUGUGCAUCUGGUGUUAUGCAGAAAAGAUAUGUGAUGAAGAUGGAGAAGUAAGUAAAAAGACCAUUAGUAGAACAUGGUUACAUUUUACUGUCCA